rnacentral:lncRNA from 1 species
UUUAGUUCUCUUACGUGAUUAAACUAUAACAAUUCAAUCGAAAGUUCUCAAUGGGUUUUGCUGGUAGUUCAAACGUCGUUUGUCACUUGAGCUCUAAGAUUGUUUUCGUCUUAUUUGUGACUUUUACACAUCCUUAAUCAAUAGGAUUAACGCGUAAUUAUAAAACUCUUAUGUGUGCAUGAAAUAGUAUCUCUCAUAUUAUUGAGUCAAAAAAAAAAAA